AGGGGGUGGGCGGUGUGAGAGGAGAGGGACGCUGGGAUUGGGGAGGUGGCCGGAGGGGCCCUGAGGGGGGGGCCGUGGUGUGAGGGUGCCCUGUUGGGGGAGACGUCAUGAGGUUCUGCCCCCGCCCCGUUCCUGUUGGGUGCCGCUGCUCGACACGUAACCACCGUGCCCGCCGCCCCCAGCUCUGCAGCCAUACACUGGGCCGACCCCAAGGCCGGCCGCAGGAGACCCACGGCCCCCCUGGUCCGUCUCCAGCCCCCUCUCUUAGCUGUGACCCCAAAACGUAUGGGUGGGAUCACUGUUCACAAAAGGAAAAGGCUCCCCCUGGUGAAGCGGUCCUUGGUGUACUACCUGAAAGGUAGAGAGGUGUGGAUGCAGAAUGAGUCCAGCUAUCACCGCUUGUUGCAUGAAUAUGCAGCCCAGCAGCUUCCCAGUGUUCUGAAGGAGAGAGAGUUUCACCUUGGAACCCUUAAUAAAGUGUUUGCUUCCCAGUGGCUGAACCACCGACAAGUGGUGUGCGGGACAAAAUGCAACACAGUAAGUGCCACCUCACUUGCUCCUCUUUCCCUUGCUUGUUACUUUCCCUUCUUCCCUUUGUCUAUAAUCCAAGCAUGUGGGCUGACAAGGAAAAUGUUAGGAAGUAAUUAUGAGCAGAGUUAAAAUGAUACACGGUGAAUUUUGAAUUAACGUAUUAUUUAGCUGUGGCCCAUUCUCAUCUGAAAGCAUGGUUCUGCACAUACAUGUACAUGUAUGGCUGUGAACCAGACCAUAAGGCUUGUGCCUAUGCUCAGCAUCUUUCUAAUCUGCACGGGGCAAUUGACUUUUUGGGGGGAUGGAGUGCAACAGGGGGGUUGAAUCUUUCCUCUUGCCAUGCAAACAGGGAGUUAGUGACUGUCCCUAUGAUUUCUAAAUGAUAAAUAUAAUGUCAGACAGAAUUUGCUCAUAAGAUGUUUUUUUCUUAUUCAUCAUCCUCUAUUUUGGUUUUACGUGUUGUUCUGUCCUGAUGUUCAGGUAACUUACCUUGUUCACAUAGUUUUAUAUGCUUUAACGAAUGCUGAAAUGGCAGGCUCUGAAACUGAUUUUUGGAUUUGAGAAGUUAUAGGGGAAUAUAAAAAUGGUGUCUCGUGAUUAAUAACUGGAGAUCAUACAAACCGGUAAAUCUUUUCUCCUGGAGUUAGUGGUCUGGCCUCAUUGGCUAAGGCUGCAAUUUCACGUAUUUAUUUCUGAUUAAAUUAGUGUGGAAUCCAGAAUUUAUUCUCUGCAGGUUGGUUAGUUCUGCUGAAAUGAAUCAAGUGUUUAAGAAAUGUAUAGGUCCAGCAUCUUAUAAUCCUCAAAGCGUAUGAGUUGAUGGGAUUGUCUCUUUGCUUUCAUGACUUCUGAGCAGAAGCUGCACUCUGUGGUCUGACUUGCAAGGGACAGAGAUUUUUUUUUUGUUUUGUUUUGGAUGUUCUAUAAUUAUUUAUAGUUGCACAGCAGGAGUGUUUUGUGCAGCAGCACUAAAAAGCAAGGCCUAGUUGUAUAAACAGCCUUAUAACAGGAAUAAGCCCGAAGUAGAAUCUCUCUGCCUUCUUUCUCCACAUGUGCUCGUCACCUCAGCUGGUCAGCAGCCAGCACCCUUCAUGGAACAGCUUCCAGGGGACAAACACCUGCUGAAACACCAGCUCUCAAAAUCUCGCUUGCCCUAACAAGAUCAUUGCAGGCUUUGUAGCACCACAACACUUUUGCUGUGUUCUGUAACUUCCUUAGUUCCACAGCAGCUGCAGCAAAGAUAAAUGGGCAAGUGUGUUGUGAACGCAACCUUGCAGAAAUUGUUGGUGACCAAAUAAUCACGGAACUGAAGAGGGAUUCAAGCACGUUGUCGUUAGCUCUGCAAAUGCUGCAGGGAGGUAUGUGCUUCUGCAGCUAGGCUUAUGUUACAGAUGGAUGUUGCCUUUUGUUAGGCAAAAUGUACUGAUGGCAAAAAUCGACUUCAUGGUGAAAAAUAUAUUAAAUAGGAAUAGUGUAGUAGGUCUAGCUCACUUGCUUUGCACUCAUGUUUAAGUAGAGCAUUAAACAAUACUUCAAGUACAAGAGUUUCUCUCUCAUCUCCUGAGUAAGCAACCUAAUAAAGAUGAAUUCUUUUGCCUAA